rnacentral:sRNA from 17 species
GUACUGGAUGGGAGUUUAACCGCUGCGACCCAUAGUUGUACAUCAAAACAGAGCGAUGUUAGAUGUACAAACAGUGC